CCUACGGGAGGCUGCAGUGGGGAAUAUUGGGCAAUGGGCGCAAGCCUGACCCAGCAACGCCGCGUGAAGGAAGAAGGCUUUCGGGUUGUAAACUUCUUUUGUCAGGGACGAAGCAAGUGACGGUACCUGACGAAUCAGCCACGGCUAACUACGUGCCAGCAGCCGCGGUAAUACGGAGGUGGCAAGCGUUAUCAGGAUUUACUGGGAUUAAGGGGCGUGUAGGCGGGACGGCAAGUCAGAGGUGAAAACCACGGGCUCAACCGUUGGCCGGCAGUUGAAACUGUAGUUCUUGAGUACUGGAGAGGCAGACGGAAUGCCUGGUGUAGCGGUGAAAUGCGUAGAUAUUAGGAGGAACACCAGUGGCGAAGGCAGUCUGCUGGACAGCAACUGACGCUGAGGCGCGAAAGCGUGGGGAGCAAACAGGAUUAGAUACCCCUGUAGUC
rnacentral:rRNA from 1 species